rnacentral:rRNA from 1 species
CGUAUGGGGCAAGCGUUGUCCGGAUUUACUGGGCCUAAAGGGCGCGUAGCCGGUUUGUUAAGUCGAAGGUGAAAUCCUCGGGCUCAACUCGAGAAUUGCCUUCGAUACUGGCAAACUAGAGUGCCGGAGAGGAAAGCGGAACUCUUGGUGUAACGGUGGAAUGUGUAGAUAUCAAGAGGAACACCGGUGGCGAAGGCGGCUUUCUGGACGCACACUGACGCUCAGGCGCGAAAGCGUGGGUAGCAAACAGGAUUAGAUACCCUGGUAGUCCACGCCAUAAACGAUGGGUACUAGGUGUCGGGGGUAUCGACCCCUCCGGUGCCGCAGUUAACGCACUAAGUACCCCGCCUGGGGAUUAUGGUCGCAAGGCUGAAACUCAAAGGAAUUGACGGGGCCCCGCACAAGCGGUGGAGCAUGUGGUUUAAUUCGACGCAACGCGAAGAACCUUACCUGGGCUUGACAUGCUUGGGGCAGCGCUGGAAACAGCGUCUCUCCUUCGGGAGCCCUUGCACAGGUGCUGCAUGGCUGUCGUCAGCUCGUGUCGUGAGAUGUUGGGUUAAGUCCCGCAACGAGCGCAACCCUCGUUACUAGUUGCCAUCAGUUCGGCUGGGCACUCUAGUGAGACUGCCGGUGAUAAACCGGAGGAAGGUGAGGAUGAUGUCAAGUCAUCAUGGCCCUUACGCCCAGGGCUACACACGUGCUACAAUGGUCGGCACAAAGGGUCGCUAAGCCGCGAGGUGGAGCUAAUCCCAAAAAGCCGGCCUCAGUUCGGAUUGGAGUCUGCAACCCGACUCCAUGAAGGCGGAAUCGCUAGUAAUCGCGGAUCAGCAUGCCGCGGUGAAUAUGUUCCCGGGGCUUGUACACACCGCCCGUCAUAUCACCCGAGUCGGGGAUACCCGAAGUCCGUGACCCAACCAUUUGGAGGGAGCGGCCGAAGGUGUGCCUG